AUUGAACGCUGGCGGCAUGCCUUACACAUGCAAGUCGAACGCGAAAGGGGGCAACCCCGAGUAGAGUGGCGAACGGGUGAGCAAUACAUCGGAACACGUCCUGUAGCGGGGGACAACCUCGAGAAAUCGAGGCUAAUACCGCAUACGAUCUACGGAUGAAAGUGGGGGACCGCAAGGCCCCACACUAUAGGAGUGGCCGAUGCCGGAUUAGCUAGUUGGCGGGGUAAUAGCCCACCAAGGCUACGAUCCGUAGCUGGUUUGAGAGAACGACCAGCCACACUGGGACUGAGACACGGCCCAGACUCCUACGGGAGGCAGCAGUGGGGAAUUUUGGACAAUGGGCGAAAGCCUGAUCCAGCCAUGCCGCGUGAGUGAAGAAGGCCUUCGGGUUGUAAAGCUCUUUCGGCGGGGACGAAAUGGCGCGGGGUAACAUCCCGCGUCGAUGACGGUACCCGAAGAAGAAGGACCGGCUAACUACGUGCCAGCAGCCGCAGUAAAAC
rnacentral:rRNA from 1 species